rnacentral:lncRNA from 1 species
AAGAAACGGUCACUUGAUGGAUUGGUAUAAAUAGGUCCAAUGGUGGAACCCUGGAGAGAGGCUCAAUUUUCCAGUUUUCGGCACCGUGCAUUAUUUUUUUCCUGCUUUUUAAUUUCCCAGCACUCUACUUUCUUAGCAAUUUUUUUUUUCCUUUUCUUUCCUAGUUAAUUUCCCAAGCAUUGAAUUUAUUUUCUUUCACACUAGUUUCUACACCGGAAACUAUUGUGUAGUUUUUACUGGAUCUAACCUUACGUUAG